GCUAUGGGUUCAUCUUUUAGCCUUGACGUUUCAACAUUUCUUUGGUUUGGCGAAACUGUCUUGAAGUAUAUACCGUCAUCUUACUUCAUAAAAAUUCAUGAUGGAUAUACGUCUUAUCGUUUGUGUAAACAAUGUCCCCGACCCCAGCGGAUUAAGAUGGAUUACAUGCAGAUCAUCUUGCAUCAGAUAUCGGGAUUAUAAUCCUCGGGAUCAUAUCUCAGUACUCCUCGAUUCAGUCCGCGUCAGGCUCGCCGUUGAACCAUGGAAUUACGUCACUGGGAUGGAGGUGUUGAAAUGAAGCACGGUCGUAAAAUGCUGUAAAAACAUCAUUGACUGAUGGAGGUGAGAGACGAGAAUAACAAUGUCUUUGGUGAAACCUAUGAGCACGAACAUGGAGCUGACAGACCUAAAAACAUAACUGAGAAUCGAACCCACAAUCAUAGGUUUCUGGCGUACUCAAGGGAAAUCACAGGUUUCUGGCGUAUUCAAGGGACGCAACUCUGCACAGUGAAUUGCGGAGCCUUAGACGACGGGGCCACCCGUGCCCCCAGCUUAAGAUUGAUGGAGGUCACAAUUCAUCAAUAGUGAUAUCACACGAUGAAGGGCAAGACUCGGAAAACGUUAAGUGUAUAAAAAAUUAUAGUCAAUAAUGUCUUUUUACGAAAAUAAAUUGUUGGGUAAUUCAAGGUAAAUAUGUGCCGCAGCUGUAUGAGUUUCCUCAUCACUGUGUGCACAAAGAAGCAUCCUCUACGAAAUGACGUCGUAGAUGUCGUUUGUGUUGAGAGUGUUUUUGUAGUUGAAACGAGGAAACAACGUAUGUUUUCCUCUGCAUCAAAUAUUAUCAACUAUCAAUUAAUUAUAAACGUCCAAAACAUUUGAACCGUUGAUACUGAUAUCCCUGCUCACAAUAUAGUCAUGUUAAUGUUUAUCCUGCUUGAAAUGAUUUGCCCAAUUGUGAGAAAACCUAACAGAUUCAAUAGUUCACAAAAUAAACUUUUUUGUUUAAACAUUUGUUUAUCCGAUUGAAAUGAUAACAGUCUCAUUCGAUUUUCCCACUUCGUUUUCACAUCCUGUUCAACUGAUAAACUAUAAAGUACAUGCACGAGAGAUAGCGAUCUCUUAUCUAUGACAUAU